rnacentral:rRNA from 1 species
CAUGUAAGCGGUUUUUUAAGUCCGGAGUGAAAAUGCGGGGCUCAACCCCCGUAUGGCUCUGGAUACUGGAAGACUUGAGUGCAGGAGAGGAAAGGGGAAUUCCCAGUGUAGCGGUGAAAUGCGUAGAUAUUGGGAGGAACACCAGUGGCGAAGGCGCCUUUCUGGACUGUGUCUGACGCUGAGAUGCGAAAGCCAGGGUAGCGAACG